rnacentral:lncRNA from 1 species
UCAGUUGUUCCCUCCUGAGUGCUGGGAUUAAAGGUGUGCGCCACCACGCCCGGCCUGAAGACAUCUGUGAUCUUAAUAGAUCUUCCUUUAUGUUUUUCCUGGCUUUUUACCUUUGCAGCUUUUAGUAUUCUUUCCUUGAACUGUAUGUUUUGAUUAUUACACAGGAAAGAGACUUUAUUUUAUAGUCCCUUCUGUUUGGUGUUUUGAUGAUUCUUGUGUUUUCUUUAUGUUAGGAAGUUUUUCUUCUAGGAUUUGGUUGUCAAUACUUUCUGAGACUUUGAGGGAGGAUUCUCCUUCCUCUCUUCCUAAGUAUUCUUAUGUUUAGUCCUUUUACAGUGUCCUGGAUUUCCGUGAUAUUUUAUAUCAGGAAGAUUUAGACUUACCGUUUUUUUUUUUUUUUGUCUGAUUUACCCAUUCCUUCUAUUGCUUAUUCAAUGAUUGAGAUUUUUCUCCGUAUCUCUGUUCUCUGGGUGAACUUUGCCUCUGUAGUUCCUUUUUGCAGUCCUAAAUUUUUAUUUCCACUAUUUCCUAAGAUUUAGUUUUCUUUUUUUGCUUCUAUUUCCACUUUUAUGUAUUGAAUAGUUUUGUUUACUUCACCCAUUGGUGUGUUCUUUCUACGCUUUGUUUAUAGGAAUUUUGGCUUCCUCUACUUUUUGGUUUGUGUGUUCCUGGCCUUCUUUAUGGAAUUUAUUGAUUUCCUCUAAUUUUGUUCUGUUUUCCUGGAUUUCUCUAAGUGAUUUGAUCAUUUCCUCUUUAAGGAACUCUGUCAUCUCCAUACAUUUGGGGUUAGAGUGUUUUUCUUGUAAUUUAGCUUUGUUGGAA